ensembl:lncRNA
CACUUCCGGUGCUCCCAGAGGCUGCGCCCUGGGACACCGCUUCUAGAGAGGAGUGGUUCACACAGGCGCACGGGGUGGGGACAGACCUAGCAUCGGAGCCAGACCCCGUCACCGCACGGGCCUGAGAAACCAGCGAGGCUCGUUACAAGGCCAGGCGCCUGUGAGUCACACUUUGCUGCUCCUGUUUGAGUUCUCAGAUAUCUAAGAGUAGUCGUUAGGUAAAUACACAUCGACAUGCUCCUUCUCUAGCCACUUCCGCACCAUGUGCCCAUGGCAACCAGGAAGGCAGCGGAGAGGCCCUGGGGCGAUGAGGGGAGCUGCCGUAGAGACACAAUCCGCGCUGUCAUCACUAAGAAACAAUUUUCACAAAACUGCAAAAGGUCAGGGAAAUACUUUCUUAAAAGACACUUGUGAAUUGUCUACCUGAAACAGAAACCAGCAGUGUUAGCAGCUGACACUUUAGCCCUGGAACAUGGACCAGAACUUUCGGCUACACGUGGUGCUGACGUGAGACCCACCAUGAGAACUGUGCACCGAAGCUGUCGCUGAACUCCACAAGGACUUGCCAUGCUCAGAAACCAGGGCUGGGAGGUCACCGUUCUCCAGGCCACAGCGAGGGUCAGCCUUACUCCAGCCUGGGGCCAGACAAGACACAUGAAGUUGGCUGAGUCAUUGCUGUCUAGACAAGAGGACCCCACCCAAAUCUGCUGGACUUGACUCAGGCUAGUUCAGCAAACCCAGUCACAGAGACCAGGCCCUGCACCUCGUCCACAUUGACUCCCGUGGGUGACACCAAGUUUUCACCAACAAUCACCCCUCCCAACAUGCUCUGUAGCAACAAUGAUCCAACCUCAACUUGGAAGGCAAGAAACUGGAGAGAAAAUCACCCCAAAUGGAACAAAUAAGCCAGAUAAUCUGUAAAAUUAUGACCUUGAACCCAUCAGAGAGGUGAGAGAUCUCAGAGCAACUGAGAAGCCUGAAGCCAUACCCCUUGCAGGAGAUGCAGGACAGGAGCCUGGCCUCCCAGGGCCUGGUGCAGGACCAGGGCAACAGGCCCACCAGGGCAAUGAGAAGAUCCCCACCAGGCAUCCUGGGCGGGAUGGGUAGGCUGAGGACAGAUGUGAGGACGAAGCGCAUCCUUCCUCGUGGACAAGCUCCAAGCUGCUAAGAGGAAAACAGCGCAGCCUGCCACCCAGCCUGCUGCAAGUUCAGAAGAGGACAGAAUCCAGCCCUCCUCCACCAGGCAGGGGCAUGGAGCAACUCUGGGCGCAGCCCACAACCGGUCCCCUACUCCUGGGGCAGAGGCACACUAUGAGGAAACCCGCGCUCCAAGAUGGAGAGACCCACCGAAGUGCCAGGCUGAAAGUGGAGAGAGCCUACUACCCACCACAACUGGAGGCCAAGAGAGGGAGGGAAAGGGUUCAGAUGUGUUACGCACGUGCACCAACUCCCCACGAGGGGUGCAAACAGUAUGUACUACAGACAUGUACAGAUAAAUACAGAAAACAUCUAAUACACUGAAAUGGUUUCAAUGAAAUUAUUUUUAAUUUCCCUGUCAAAGGUUAAUAAUGAUGAUUCUCAAACUCUUCUGGAUGUCCUGCGUUGUCCAUGAAUCAUCUCAUUCAUUCCUCACAGCAGGCCCAUAGGACCCCCUCACCCACACAGUGGGAGGGAGGAGGCUACCACCUGGGAAGGCUCAAACACAACUUUGCUCUACCUCUGCUCCAGACACCUCUAGCAGGACUUAGAAC